GACGAACGCUGGCGGCGUGCUUAACACAUGCAAGUCGAGCGGAAAGGCUCCUUCGGGAGUACUCGAGCGGCGAACGGGUGAGUAACACGUGAGUAACCUGCCUCUGACUUUGGGAUAACCCCGGGAAACCGGGGCUAAUACCGGGUAUGACCUGACCGGGCAUCUGGUUGGGUGGAAAGCUUUUGCGGUCAGGGAUGGGCUCGCGGCCUAUCAGCUUGUUGGUGGGGUGAUGGCCUACCAAGGCGACGACGGGUAGCCGGCCUGAGAGGGCGGCCGGCCACCCUGGGACUGGGGCACGGCCCAGACUCCUACGGGAGGCAGCAGUGGGGAAUAGUGCACAAUGGGCGAAAGCCGGAUGCAGCGACGCCGCGUGAGGGAUGACGGCCUUCGGGUUGUAAACCUCUUUCGACAGGGACGAAGCGCAAGUGACGGUACCUGGAGAAGAAGCGCCGGCCAACUACGUGCCAGCAGCCGCGGUAACAC
rnacentral:rRNA from 1 species